CCAGACUCCUACGGGAGGCAGCAGUGGGGAAUAUUGCACAAUGGGGGAAACCCUGAUGCAGCGACGCCGCGUGGAGGAAGAAGGUCUUCGGAUUGUAAACUCCUGUCCUUGGGGACGAUAAUGACGGUACCCAAGGAGGAAGCACCGGCUAACUACGUGCCAGCAGCCGCGGUAAUACGUAGGGGGCAAGCGUUAUCCGGAUUUACUGGGUGUAAAGGGAGCGUAGACGGUUCUGCAAGCCAGAUGUGAAAGCCCGGGGCUCAACCCCGGGACUGCAUUUGGAACUGUAAGGCUAGAGUGUCGGAGAGGCAGGCGGAAUUCCUAGUGUAGCGGUGAAAUGCGUAGAUAUUAGGAGGAACACCAGUGGCGAAGGCGGCCUGCUGGACGAUGACUGACGUUGAGGCUCGAAAGCGUGGGGAGCAAACAGGAUUAGAUACCCUAGUA
rnacentral:rRNA from 1 species